rnacentral:rRNA from 1 species
AUUGAACGCUGGCGGCAGGCCUAACACAUGCAAGUCGAGCGGAGGAUGGGAGCUUGCUCCUUGAUUCAGCGGCGGACGGGUGAGUAAUGCCUAGGAAUCUGCCUGGUAGUGGGGGACAACGUUUCGAAAGGAACGCUAAUACCGCAUACGUCCUACGGGAGAAAGCAGGGGACCUUCGGGCCUUGCGCUAUCAGAUUAGCCGGGGUCGGAUUAGCUAGUUGGUGGGGUAAUGGCUCACCAAGGCGACGAUCCGUAACUGGGCUGAGAGGAUGAUCAGUCACACUGGAACGGAGACACGGUCCAGACGCCUACGGGAGGCAGCAGUGGGGAAUAUUGGACAAUGGGCGAAAGCCUGAUCCAGCCAUGCCGCGUGUGUGAAGAAGGUCUUCGGAUUGUAAAGCACUUUAAGUUGGGAGGAAGGGCAGUAAGCUAAUACCUUGCUGUUUUGACGUUACCGACAGAAUAAGCACCGGCUAACUCUGUGCCAGCCGCCGCAGUAA